GAUGAAGAACGUAGCGAAAUGCGAUACGUAAUGUGAAUUGCAGAAUUCAGUGAAUCAUCGAAUCUUUGAACGCAUAUUGCGCUCUCUGGUAUUCCGGAGAGCAUGCUUGUUUGAGUAUCAGUAAACACCUCAACUCCCCUUUCUUUUUUGAAAUGGGAGCUGGACUUGAGUGAUCCCAACGCUUUUCUCACCGAAAAGUGGCGGGUUACUUGAAAUGCAGGUGCAGCUGGACUUUUCUCUGAGCUAAAAGCAUAUCUAUUUAGUCUGCCUAAACACAGAUUAUUACCUUUGCUGCAGCUAACAUAAAGGAGAUUAGUUCUUGUGCUGACUGAUGCAGGAUUCACAGAGACAGCUUCGGCUGGCCUUUGUAAACUCGAUCUCAAAUCAAGUAAGACUACCCGCUGAACUUAAGCAUAUCAAUAAGCGGAGGA
rnacentral:misc_RNA from 1 species